AGAGUUUGAUCAUGGCUCAGGACGAACGCUGGCGGCGCGCUUAACACAUGCAAGUCGAGCGAGAACCUUUCCUUCGGGAUUGGGGACAGCGGCGAACGGGUGAGUAACACGUGGGUAAUCUGCCCUUGACAUCGGGAUAGCCCGGGGAAACUCGGAUUAAUACCGAAUAGCCUCCGGAGCCUUCGGGCGCCGGAGAAAAGGUAGCUUCGGCCUCUGGUCAAGGAUGAGCCCGCGGCGGAUUAGCUUGUUGGCGGGGUAAUGGCCCACCAAGGCGACGAUCCGUAGCUGGUCUGAGAGGACGAUCAGCCACACUGGGACUGAGACACGGCCCAGACUCCUACGGGAGGCAGCAGUGGGGAAUCUUGCGCAAAUGCGGGAAACCGUGACGCAGCGACGCCGCGUGGGGGAAGAAGGCCUUCGGGUUGUAAACCUCUUUCAGGGGGGACGAAGCUACUCGGGUUAAUAGCCCAGAGGGUGACGGUACCUUCAGAAGAAGCCCGGCUAACUACCUUGCCAGCAGCCGCGGUA
rnacentral:rRNA from 1 species